rnacentral:misc_RNA from 1 species
GGUUCCAACAGCAGAACUUUUCCAUGCAAGAAGAAUCAUGGUACUCUGAGAGUGAGCAUUAUAGCCAUGGCUCUAGCAUGCAGAUGCUGCCUAGGCCUUGCUCUCCUAAGCCCUCAAAGCACCAAACAUUGCUCAAUAAUGGAAGCAACACCAUGCGCCAGCACCAGUAGGAUAGCUUUUAUGGUCAGAACAUGCACCAAAAUGGUUGGCAUGGCUCCUCCAAUGGUUGCUUCAACCAUGCCUCAGGUGGCAAAGUGAAGCCUGUUUUUGGCAUGGAUGAUACCCUAUUUUCAUAGGAUGGCAUGUUCAACAAUGCAACUGUGGAUGCCGAAUUCAGGACCAGCACAGGCAGUGAAAGUGGAGGAAAUGAGGUAUGAGCAUAGCAGUUGGGGUACUGAUGGUGGCCACUGCCAAACAUUUGAUGAUAACUUCAAUUGGAAGCUCAAUGGCUGCAAAAAUUUCUGAGGUAAAUGUCUAAGAGGGGAAGGAGGUUUAACAGAAGAGCUGGCAUUUAUAAAAAAUAAAACUGUGCUUGGUGUUAUUUCUUUGGCUAGACCUGUAAACUCCCUGAUGAAUUCACUCAUAAAACUAUGAUAUAUGUAUCUGUUGAUU